GAAAUGCGAUAAGUAAUGUGAAUUGCAGAAUUCAGUGAAUCAUCGAAUCUUUGAACGCACAUUGCGCCCGCCAGUAUUCUGGCGGGCAUGCCUGUCCGAGCGUCAUUUCAACCAUCAAGCCCCCGGGCUUGUGUUGGGGACCUGCGGCUGCCCGCAGGCCCUGAAAACCAGUGGCGGGCUCGCUGUCACACCGCGCGUAGUAGCAAUCACCUCGCUCAGGGCGUGCUGCGGGUUCCGGCCGUUAAACAGCCUUACAAAACCCAAGGUUGACCUCGGAUCAGGUAGGAAGACCCGCUGAACUUAAGC
rnacentral:misc_RNA from 1 species